rnacentral:rRNA from 1 species
GACGAACGCUGGCGGCGUGCUUAACACAUGCAAGUCGAACGAGAGGACAAGAGAAGCUUGCUUCUUUUGGAAUCGAGUGGCAAACGGGUGAGUAACACGUAAACAACCUGCCUUCAGGAUGGGGACAACAGACGGAAACGACUGCUAAUACCGAAUACGCUUGGGAGACCGCAUGAUCUACCAAGGAAAGGGUGGCCUCUACCUGUAAGCUAUCGCCUGAAGAGGGGUUUGCGUCUGAUUAGGCAGUUGGUGAGGUAACGGCCCACCAAACCUAUGAUCAGUAGCCGGUCUGAGAGGAUGAACGGCCACACUGGAACUGAGACACGGUCCAGACUCCUACGGGAGGCAGCAGUGGGGGAUAUUGCACAAUGGGGGAAACCCUGAUGCAGCGACGCCGCGUGGAGGAAGAAGGUUUUCGGAUUGUAAACUCCUGUCGUUAGGGACGAUAAUGACGGUACCUAACAA